rnacentral:rRNA from 1 species
GACGAACGCUGGCGGCGUGCCUAAUACAUGCAAGUCGGACGCUGAAGGAGGAGCUUGCUUCUCUGGAUGAGUUGCGAACGGGUGAGUAACGCGUAGGUAACCUGCCUGGUAGCGGGGGAUAACUAUUGGAAACGAUAGCUAAUACCGCAUAAUAGUAGAUGUUGCAUGACAUUUGCUUAAAAGGUGCAAUUGCAUCACUACCAGAUGGACCUGCGUUGUAUUAGCUAGUUGGUGGGGUAACGGCUCACCAAGGCGACGAUACAUAGCCGACCUGAGAGGGUGAUCGGCCACACUGGGACUGAGACACGGCCCAGACUCCUACGGGAGGCAGCAGUAGGGAAUCUUCGGCAAUGGACGGAAGUCUGACCGAGCAACGCCGCGUGAGUGAAGAAGGGUUUCGGAUCGUAAAGCUCUGUUGUAAGAGAAGAACGAGUGUGAGAGUGGAAAGUUCACACUGUGACGGUAUCUUACCAGAAAGGGACGGCUAACUACGUG